UGAGCGCCUCACACUCCUGCCUUCAUACUCCCUUGAUCCGAAAGAAUCUUUGUGCCAAAGGACAGAACCCGAGAGCCUUCCCCCCAGCCUCUAUCUCAGCCACGGAGCCGGGGAUGCUCGUUACACAGCAGCGGAUGUCAGGAGAGCCACACUAAGCCCACCAGCCGGCCCAGAAUCUUCUCCACGCCAGGCCCUCCACCGAGUGAGCCCCUGAUAAUCUCAGCCAGCAGCCAACUCAAAAGCAACAAACAGAAACCUCUCUCCGCCUUCGCUGAGCCCGAGAAAACCCCAGUCGGCCACCGUGUUGAUUCUGGAGCAGAUGCUGAAGGGACCGUUGUCUGGAACUUCGGUUAAUGUGGGCACUUAUCAAGCAUCUUCCACCGCCUCCCUGGCUCUGCAGGCCGGAGAGGGGGAAGGCGGGCUGUGCGUGUGUGUGGAUACAGCCCUUCAAGGAGAAAAGUCCUGAAUCCGUCUGAAUCAUGGGGACAGAAUCCUAGACACU